UACGGAGGGAGCUAGCGUUGUUCGGAAUUACUGGGCGUAAAGCGCACGUAGGCGGCUUUGUAAGUUAGAGGUGAAAGCCUGGGGCUCAACCCCAGAAUUGCCUUUAAGACUGCAUCGCUUGAAUCCAGGAGAGGUGAGUGGAAUUCCGAGUGUAGUGGUGAUAUGCGUAGAUAUCGGGAGGAACACCUGUGGCGAAAGCGGCUCACUGGACCAUUACUGACGCUGACUGGCACGAAAGCUAGGGGAGCAAACAGG
rnacentral:rRNA from 1 species